rnacentral:rRNA from 1 species
UUAAGCGACCAAGCGUACACGGUGGAUGCCCUGGCAGUCAGAGGCGAUGAAGGGCGUGCUAAUCUGCGAUAAGCGCCGGUAAGGUGAUAUGAACCGUUAUAACCGGCGAUACCCGAAUGGGGAAACCCAGUGUGUUUCGACACACUAUCAUUAACUGAAUCCAUAGGUUAAUGAGGCGAACCGGGGGAACUGAAACAUCUAAGUACCCCGAGGAAAAGAAAUCAACCGAGAUUCCCCCAGUAGCGGCGAGCGAACGGGGAGGAGCCCAGAGCCUGAAUCAGCAUGUGUGUUAGUGGAAGCGUCUGGAAAGGCGCGCGAUACAGGGUGACAGCCCCGUACACAAAAGCGCACGUACUGUGAGCUCGAUGAGUAGGGCGGGACACGUGGUAUCCUGUCUGAAUAUGGGGGGACCAUCCUCCAAGGCUAAAUACUCCUGACUGACCGAUAGUGAACCAGUACCGUGAGGGAAAGGCGAAAAGAACCCCGGCGAGGGGAGUGAAACAGAACCUGAAACCGUGUACGUACAAGCAGUGGGAGCACAGGUUUACCUGUGUGACUGCGUACCUUUUGUAUAAUGGGUCAGCGACUUAUAUUCUGUAGCAAGGUUAACCGCAUAGGGGAGCCGGAGGGAAACCGAGUCUUAAUUGGGCGUUAAGUUGCAGGGUAUAGACCCGAAACCCGGUGAUCUAGCCAUGGGCAGGUUGAAGGUUGGGUAACACUAACUGGAGGACCGAACCGACUAAUGUUGAAAAAUUAGCGGAUGACCUGUGGCUGGGGGUGAAAGGCCAAUCAAACCGGGAGAUAGCUGGUUCUCCCCGAAAGCUAUUUAGGUAGCGCCUCGUGAAUUCAUCUCCGGGGGUAGAGCACUGUUUCGGCUAGGGGGCCAUCCCGGCUUACCAACCCGAUGCAAACUGCGAAUACCGGAGAAUGUUAUCACGGGAGACACACGGCGGGUGCUAACGUCCGUCGUGAAGAGGGAAACAACCCAGACCGCCAGCUAAGGUCCCAAAGUCAUGGUUAAGUGGGAAACGAUGUGGGAAGGCCCAGACAGCCAGGAUGUUGGCUUAGAAGCAGCCAUCAUUUAAAGAAAGCGUAAUAGCUCACUGGUCGAGUCGGCCUGCGCGGAAGAUGUAACGGGGCUAAACCAUGCACCGAAGCUGCGGCAGCGACACUUAAGUGUUGUUGGGUAGGGGAGCGUUCUGUAAGCCUGUGAAGGUGGCCUGUGAGGGUUGCUGGAGGUAUCAGAAGUGCGAAUGCUGACAUAAGUAACGAUAAAGCGGGUGAAAAGCCCGCUCGCCGGAAGACCAAGGGUUCCUGUCCAACGUUAAUCGGGGCAGGGUGAGUCGACCCCUAAGGCGAGGCCGAAAGGCGUAGUCGAUGGGAAACGGGUUAAUAUUCCCGUACUUGGUGUUACUGCGAAGGGGGGACGGAGAAGGCUAUGUUGGCCGGGCGACGGUUGUCCCGGUUUAAGCGUGUAGGCUGGUUUUCCAGGCAAAUCCGGAAAAUCAAGGCUGAGGCGUGACGACGAGGCACCACGGUGCUGAAGCAACAAAUGCCCUGCUUCCAGGAAAAGCCUCUAAGCAUCAGGUAACACGAAAUCGUACCCCAAACCGACACAGGUGGUCAGGUAGAGAAUACCAAGGCGCUUGAGAGAACUCGGGUGAAGGAACUAGGCAAAAUGGUGCCGUAACUUCGGGAGAAGGCACGCUGACACGUAGGUGAAGUGAUUUACUCAUGGAGCUGAAGUCAGUCGAAGAUACCAGCUGGCUGCAACUGUUUAUUAAAAACACAGCACUGUGCAAACACGAAAGUGGACGUAUACGGUGUGACGCCUGCCCGGUGCCGGAAGGUUAAUUGAUGGGGUUAUCCUCGCGGAGAAGCUCCUGAUCGAAGCCCCGGUAAACGGCGGCCGUAACUAUAACGGUCCUAAGGUAGCGAAAUUCCUUGUCGGGUAAGUUCCGACCUGCACGAAUGGCGUAAUGAUGGCCAGGCUGUCUCCACCCGAGACUCAGUGAAAUUGAACUCGCUGUGAAGAUGCAGUGUACCCGCGGCAAGACGGAAAGACCCCGUGAACCUUUACUAUAGCUUGACACUGAACAUUGAGCCUUGAUGUGUAGGAUAGGUGGGAGGCUUUGAAGCGUGGACGCCAGUCUGCGUGGAGCCAACCUUGAAAUACCACCCUUUAAUGUUUGAUGUUCUAACGUGGACCCGUUACCCGGGUUGCGGACAGUGUCUGGUGGGUAGUUUGACUGGGGCGGUCUCCUCCCAAAGAGUAACGGAGGAGCACGAAGGUUGGCUAAUCCUGGUCGGACAUCAGGAGGUUAGUGCAAUGGCAUAAGCCAGCUUGACUGCGAGCGUGACGGCGCGAGCAGGUGCGAAAGCAGGUCAUAGUGAUCCGGUGGUUCUGAAUGGAAGGGCCAUCGCUCAACGGAUAAAAGGUACUCCGGGGAUAACAGGCUGAUACCGCCCAAGAGUUCAUAUCGACGGCGGUGUUUGGCACCUCGAUGUCGGCUCAUCACAUCCUGGGGCUGAAGUAGGUCCCAAGGGUAUGGCUGUUCGCCAUUUAAAGUGGUACGCGAGCUGGGUUUAGAACGUCGUGAGACAGUUCGGUCCCUAUCUGCCGUGGGCGCUGGAGAACUGAGGGGGGCUGCUCCUAGUACGAGAGGACCGGAGUGGACGCAUCACUGGUGUUCGGGUUGUCAUGCCAAUGGCACUGCCCGGUAGCUAAAUGCGGAAGAGAUAAGUGCUGAAAGCAUCUAAGCACGAAACUUGCCCCGAGAUGAGUUCUCCCUGAGACCUUGAGUCUCCUGAAGGAACGUUGAAGACGACGACGUUGAUAGGCCGGGUGUGUAAGCGCAGCGAUGCGUUGAGCUAACCGGUACUAAUGAACCGUGAGGCUUAACCUU